CCCUCCUGCCAGCUUGGUUACACCCAGAUUCCAGCUCUUCUCUGGUGACUGUUCUGUGGGCCCCUGAGAGAGUAAUGAAAGCCUAGGAAAUACAGGCCAACCCUAGGCCAUCCUGGCAAGAACAGGAAAGUUUGAAACCAUGGCUUCCCUCCCUGGCGUCAGGAGAGUGUUGUGGCCUUGUUCUAGGAGCACUGAAAAGGAAAUCCUCAUCACUGUGGUCUGAAGGUGUAUUAACCCUCCAUCGCCGUGACAAAACUAUUCGAGAAGAGGAACAGAUUCUUUGGGAUCAUGGUUUCCUGAGGUUCAUUGUGUGACCACCUAUCCUGCCUGCUUUUCGGCCUGUGUCUGAGGUCACACAUCAUGGCAGAAGUGUGGGAUGGAGUAAAGCUGUACACCUCCCAGCACCCAGGAAGCCAAAGAGGACCUCAUAUUUUGUUGUAUAAAGCCCAUCUUCCCAAACUCAUUCAGCCAUGAGCCCAUAAAUAGAUGAAUUCACC
rnacentral:lncRNA from 1 species